AUACGUAGGGGGCGAGCGUUGUCCGGAAUGAUUGGGCGUAAAGGGCGCGUAGGCGGCGCGGUAAGUCUGGAGUGAAAGUCCUGCUUUCAAGGUGGGAAUUGCUUUGGAUACUGCCGCGCUUGAGUGCAGGAGAGGUUAUCGGAAUUCCCGGUGUAGCGGUGAAAUGCGUAGAGAUCGGGGGGAACACCAGUGGCGAAGGCGGGUAACUGGACUGCAACUGACGCUGAGGCGCGAAAGUGUGGGGAGCAAACAGGAUUAGAUACCCUGGUAGUCCACACUGUAAACGAUGAAUGCUAGGUGUAAGAGGUAUCGACCCCUUUUGUGCCGGAGUCAACACAAUAAGCAUUCCGCCUGGGGAGUACGGCCGCAAGGUUGAAACUCAAAUGAAUUGACGGGG
rnacentral:rRNA from 1 species